CAGUAGCCGCGGUAAUACGUAUGUCACAAGCGUUAUCCGGAUUUAUUGGGCGUAAAGCGCGUCUAGGCGGUUAAUUAAGUCUGAUGUGAAAAUGCGGAGCUCAACUCCGUAUUGCGCUGGAAACUGGUUAACUAGAGUACUGGAGAGGUAAGCGGAACUACAAGUGUAGAGGUGAAAUUCGUAGAUAUUUGUAGGAAUGCCGAUGGGGAAGCCAGCUUACUGGACAGAUACUGACGCUAAAGCGCGAAAGCGUGGGUAGCAAACAGGAUUAGAUACCGUGUAGUCCCUGUCUCUUAUACAC
rnacentral:rRNA from 1 species